rnacentral:rRNA from 1 species
GACGAACGCUGGCGGCGUGCUUAACACAUGCAAGUCGAACGGAAAGGCCCUGCUUUUGUGGGGUGCUCGAGUGGCGAACGGGUGAGUAACACGUGAGUAACCUGCCCUUGACUUUGGGAUAACUUCAGGAAACUGGGGCUAAUACCGGAUAGGAUCUCCUGCUGCAUGGUGGGGGUUGGAAAGUUUCGGCGGUUGGGGAUGGACUCGCGGCUUAUCAGCUGGUUGGUGGGGUAGUGGCUUACCAAGGCUUUGACGGGUAGCCGGCCUGAGAGGGUGACCGGCCACCAUAGGCCUGCGAUACGGCCCAGAAUCCUACGGGACGCAGCAGUCGGGAAUCUUGCACAGUGGCCGGGCGCGUGAUGCAACAACCCCGCGUGCGGGAUGACGGCCUUCGGGUUGUGAACCGCUUUCGCCUGUGACGAAGCGUGAGUGACGGUACUGGGUCAAGAAGCACCGGCUAACUACGUG